ensembl:ncRNA F30H5.6 ncRNA
CACUAAAACAUGUUUAAAAAUUUAUCUUGAAGAAAAACGUAGGAAAUUUCAAAUUUGCAGCUAAAAAAUCAGCGAAAAAAUUUUUUUUUCAAAAUUUGAGGAGGUUGGGUAUGCUAAAUAUUUAGCAGACCCAAGGAAAAAUAUUUAGCAGACCAAAGAUAGGUAUGCUAAAUACUUAGCAGACCAAAGAUAGGUAUGCUAAAUAUUUAGCAGACCAAAGAAGGGUAUGCUAAAUAUUUAGCAGACCCAAGGUGGGUAUGCUAAAUAUUUAGCAGACCCAAGGAAAAAUAUUUAGCAGACCAAAGAUAGGUAUGCUAAAUAUUUAGCAGACCAAAGAUGGAUAUGCUAAA